rnacentral:rRNA from 1 species
AACGAACGCUGGCGGCAUGCCUAACACAUGCAAGUCGAACGAGACCUUCGGGUCUAGUGGCGCACGGGUGCGUAACGCGUGGGAACCUGCCCUUAGGUUCGGAAUAACUCCCCGAAAGGGGUGCUAAUACCGGAUAAUGUCUUCGAACCAAAGAUUUAUCGCCUUUGGAUGGGCCCGCGUUGGAUUAGCUAGUUGGUAGGGUAAAAGCCUACCAAGGCGACGAUCCAUAGCUGGUCUGAGAGGAUGAUCAGCCACACUGGGACUGAGACACGGCCCAGACCCCGACGGGGGGAGGAGGGGGGAAUUAGGGAAAAAGGGGGAAAGGCUGAAACAAGAAGGGCGGGGGGAGGAAGAAGGCCUUAGGGUUUGAAAAGCUUUUUACCCGGGGAGAAAAAGAAAAGUACGGGAAAAAAAAGCCCCGGCAAACUCCGUG